GGCAGUGCACGGUGGACGUCGUUGGGGUGGAGGUAGGCGAGGCUGUGGGCCUAGAGCACGGCACAGGACCGUCUGACAUUCACAGAUCUCGGUGAGUGAUGACGUGUCCUCUCACUCGCUGUUACCGCGUGGGUCAGGAAUGAUGGAGACCUUACAAGUUCCGGCAGCCACGUUCUUCUGGCGUGUGCUCUUCUACACGCAAGUCGUGUUUAAGCUUCUGACUCCUGACUGACUUGCAGACAUCCACCUAAUUCCCACGGCGUGGCGCGUCCCAGUGAUAACCUUGCUUUUUCUGGUUUUCAGGUGGGCGGUCAAGAGAGGAUGGGGGCCGUCACAAUGGCGUAGAUCUGAGAGGGCUGCAGGAGUCCAGGCUCCUGUCUCGAUGUUCUGGUGAGCCUCCUAAUGCUCGUUCAAGGGACGGUGCUUGUAUCCAGGGAAGUGACGGUGGGGGCCUCGAGCACCCUACUGACCCACGGAUCUUCGGAUAGCCGGCGCGGGACCGACCAUGAGAUUCUCGUCGGUGGUCAGUCGGGAGGUGACGGUGUCUGUAACCUCGGUGUUGACCGUGAAGUUCUGCCUGGAGCCAGGGAAUGUGGAUGAUUCCUGCGAGGAGGGAAUGGCGCAAGACAGUUGGCAGGAGCCACGGUCGAGCAAGUUGUUGCCUUCCACGCGUGGGUGGCCUGCGUCCUCUCAGGUUCCUGGGGAGCAACCCCUCUGGACACAAGAAUGGUGGCUAACGGGCUCGUGUUAGUAACCGCAAAUCCCGGUAGUUAGCGAUGCCCUUGAGACCCUUCUUCUGACCGACAGACGGAGGGGCAGACAGCCAGGGAAUCUCUCGUGUUGCCCGUCAGCGCGUUACUGACCCCGGGAUGUUGGCAGGCAUUCCUUCCUGGGGGCCGACCUCGAAGUGUUGCAAGUAUUCAGGUUCCUGGCACGACAUCCGGGCGAACCUAGCAUCGGUCCUUAGCGGAGGAGAUUCUUGGGGUGCAGGUAAGUGAGGACGUGGGCCUAGACCACAGCACGGGCCGUCCGAUCUGCAGAUAGGUGGGUAAGUGAUGAUGGUGUCGCUCACGCUUCCUGUUGCCGUGGAUUUGCUGCGGGCGUCCAGGUAAGACACGAUAGAGUCCUUCUCGGUGCUGGUAAGCGUGACUUUGCCCUUUUUUACCUUUUCGGAGGUCACUUCGGUUUCAGCCUGUGAGUGUUGUGGGUAGGUGGUGUCCCGGCAGUUGUCGCGGAGUUUCCACCCCAGUGGGAGCCAUAGGAAUCUUGCCCGGGUUCCAGUGAAAGGACGGCGGUCCCUCCUGACGAAGAGGAUGCCCUGAAGCAUCCAGGGCAAGCAUCCAGGUUCCCUUCAGGAGAACGCGGUGAAGCUGAGAGUGGUCAUUGACGGAGCCUGCCUCUUGAGCAGGUGUCCUGUUGCGGCCUGCGCUCGUAUCCAGGUGUGAGACGAUGUGACGUUAACGCCUUGAAGCCAUGCUCGCGUGCAGAUAGCGGUGGGCUUCACGUUCGAGCCGUUUAUGUGUCUCUUGGUUUGGGCCUGUAUUCAGGUGUCCCCUCAGGAGAGGAAGGCGUCCCUUCCCGGGGCUUGACCUUGGAGUUCUGCAACUGGCCAGGUUGGCGUCGAGACAUCACGGCGGGCCUAUCGGUGGUCGCGAACGUGGGACAUGGCUGCCACGGAGGAGCGUCGAGGGAUUCCACGUGUCCAGGUGUUUCUCGCGGCGUGCCCUAGCACACUACGAUGCAUAGGGAUAUUUCCAGGCGCCCAGUCAAGGAAGGGUGCGUGUAUCUGACAUUGGUGUUAACCUUGGGUUCCCGCCCGCAUCCAGGCAGGAUCGAUGUGUCUCGUCACUCGUGACGAGGAAGUGAGCGAGGUUACUUGCAGGGGUCCUGCUCGAGAAAGUUACGUCCUGCCACACAGGCUUCGUGGGGGUCUUGCCGGGUUCCCGGCACGACCUCACGUCGAACCUGCCACGACUCGUCAGUGGCUAGUGUCGAGGCACGUGAUGACGUGGGCCUCAACCGCAGCGCAGACCCUCUGUUCCUCAGAUAGCUAGGGAAGGGCUGCCAGCGUCCCUAACGCUCGUUGUCGCCGUUCAUUCUUUGCAGGUGUUCGGGUAGGAAAGGAUAGUCCUGGCCCAGUCUGGAACCCAUGGCUUUGAGUUUUUACGUUGUUGCGGAAAUGUUGACGUCUCUCUGUGUGUAAUGAGGGAUUGCCCUAUCCAGGUAGUUCUCAAGAUGCUCCUGACCACCGUGGUGACCGAGGAGGCUUUGCAGGUGUCCCCAAAUGAAAUGUCGUACGCGCCCGUGGCCUUGACCCUGGAGAACGGUAUCCCCGCAGCGAUGGUGGAGUUGUGUGGCACAGCAGUAACCACGGGGGAUCCUGCCGGCGAGCAGGGAAGAGGUGAUGGUGUUUCUAGCAACGGCGCAGACCUGGGAGGACUGCAAGAAUCCAGGUUUUCGUCAAGAAAUCAUGGGAAACCCCGGAGCGAUCAGUCAGGAGACUUUGCUUGCCUCCAGGUAUUGCGUGAAGAAGCGAUUUCGUCCGCGACAGUGCUGGUACCCAGAGAGGACAUGACGUGUCUCUGACAGCGGCGUUGGCCUAGAAGUGCUGAAGGAUCCAGGUUGCGGUGGGCAGGCAGGCACCGUGAAGCUGACGGUGGUCGUUAACGGGACCUCGAUGGCAAGCAGGAAGGAGAUUUUUCUCUUCUUCUUGGAAGCUCGUCUGCCCCUAACACCACUAACGGAAGAGAGAUGUGCGGCUAUUCGGGUACCGUAGGACACUGUCCUUCACAGCGUUCUGGACUAAGGGAUGGAUCGCAGCUGCCCGUCAGCAGCUGACGGUGAGCCUAUCAGUGGCAGUGCACGGUGGACGUCGUUGGGGUGGAGGUAGGCGAGGCUGUGGGCCUAGAGCACGGCACAGGACCGUCUGACAUUCACAGAUCUCGGUGGGCGGUCAAGAGAGGAUGGGGGCCGUCACAAUGGCGUAGAUCUGAGAGGGCUGCAGGAGUCCAGGUCGGGACGACGGUGUCGCCGUGGUGGCCCCACGGCAGUUGUUCAUGUGGACCUAGACCGCAGCACAGGUCUUCUCAUCUGCAGGUACCUAGGUGAGUGAUGGUGGUGUCCCUACCACUUGUUACCAUGAUUUCUCUGCCAGUGUUCAGGUAGGAAAUGAUCCCUUACUGACCAGUUCUAUAGACUGUGAGUUUUCAUUUUUAUAUUUUAGAAAAAAUUUUUGUUUAUCCCUGUGAGUUUUGAGUAAUUUCACAUAUCCAGGUAAUUAUCAUGAUGUUCCCAGCCACAAUGGUGACCAUGGAAAUUUUGCAGGUGUCCUGUUGAGAAAUGUUAUCUUAACUGAUAGUGGUCCUGACUUGGAGUUCUCCAAGUAGUCAGUAGAAUCGAUGUUCUCAUAAUAAGGAUAGCGAUGAAGGUUAUUUUCAGGUGUCUUGGUAGAACAAGUUGUGUCCUUUUACACAUAUAUUAUGCUUUUCAGGUUCAUGUCCAGAGAUCGUGGUGAACCCUGACAGUGGUUGUUGACAGGAGACGUUAUAGGUAUCCAGGUAAGUGAUGGUGUGCACCUCCCCCACAUCACAGAUCAUCCAGGCUUCACAUACUUAGGGAAGGGAAGUUUGUUUGCCUAAUCUUGUUUACCAGGUGAUUUUUUUAUAGGUCUUCAGGUAAGAAAUGAGUGUUUUACCAAUUCCAGAAGCCAUGUUACCCUACUGUUUUAUAUUUUAGAAAAAAGUCAUGUUUAACCAUGUGAUUGUUGAGUGAUUUGCAGAUAUCCAUGUAAUUGUCAUGAAGCUGUGAGUCACAGUAGUAACCAUGGUUUUCUUGAAGGUGAGCAUUCAAGUGAUGAUAGCGUCUCUAACCAUGGUGUAGACCUUGGAGUACUGCAAGAUUCUGGGUAGAUUGGAUGAGUCCUGCGGUGAUGGUAAUGAAUAAGGUUAUUUUCGGGGUCCAGGUAAUAAAGAUGUGUCCAUAGACACAUUUGUUACAAUGUAUUUUGCAAGUUACUGUUAAGACAUCAUGCUAAACCUCAUAAAGUUCAUUAAAGUGAUUUUGUUUGUAUCCAGAUAAGUGCUGAUGUGGGCUUUUGACAUGCCACCCACCCUCUGAUCUUUAGAUAUCUAGCUAAGUGAUGAUGGUGUUCUAACAUUUGUGUUGCCGUCUUUUCUUGCAGGUAUUCAGGUAAGAAAUGAUAUUGUCCCAGGCAAUGCUAGUAAGCAUUAGCCCAUAUUAUUUUAGAAUUUAAAUAUAAUGUUUGUAUAACCUUAGUAGUAACUGAGGGAUUAUGUAGAUGUCCACAUAAAUUAUCAUUUUGUCCAUCACCUCCUUAUUGACCAUGGCUUUUUUGUAAUUAUUUCAAGACGGGAUUGUAUCUCUAACUAGGGUGUUGGCCUUGAGCUUCUGCAAGUUUCAAGGUAGAGUUGAUGGACCCCGUAAAUUUGAUGAGAUUUUGCCAGGUUUUCAGAUGUCUACCCAAAAGGAGAUGAUGUCUCAAUCCAAGUUCUUGACGCUGGAUUUUUGCAAGUAUCUGGGUAGAUUUUAUGCUUCCCUUUAAGUUUGUAGUGCUUACAGGAUUUUCAGGUAUCCAGGUUGUAGAUUUGUUCUUAAAUGCUGUUGUCUCUUUGGUUUUUGUAGCUUCCAGUUAAGGGAUUUUUGAGAACCUUUGUAUGGUAUCAAAGGUUAAUUUUGCUUGCAUCCAAUUAAAAGAUGAUGAUGUUUGUACCAAAGUUGGAGCUCAUGAGAUUUUGCAGAUAUCCACAUAAGCAAUGAUAGUGUUUGUAAGCCAACAUGGAGAUCAUGUUUAUUUGCAAGUAUUCUUGUACGUUGUGUUGACUAACCACCUUAGUGAUCAGGGGAAUUUUGCAGAUAUGUUGUCACACUUGUGAAGAUGUCUCUAACUAAGGUGUUUUCUUUGGAUAUUUGUAGAUAUCCAGGUAAAAGUUGAUGGUGUCUCUAAUCAAGCUAAUGACCAUGGGAUUUUGCAGUUAUCCAGGCAAGAGAUGCUGUGCCCCUACCGUGAUACUGACCCUGGGCAAUUCUAAGUGUUCAGAUUUUUUAGGUAGUCUUGGAAGAGAUGAUGGUGUUCUUAACAAUAAUGACCAUAGGAUUUUGCAGAAACCCACUCAAAAGAUGACAUCUCUAUCAACAUUGGUGUCCAUGGGAAUGAACGAAAAAUGGAAUACAUUUUUUGGCUAGCUGUAUAUUUUGUUAAAAGAAUUUUAACAUUCAAUGACUAUUAAAUAUUAUUCACAAUCCUAUUUCCUUA
ensembl:lncRNA